rnacentral:rRNA from 1 species
UACAUGUGGUGCAAGCGUUGUUCGGAAUUACUGGGCGUAAAGGGUGCGUAGGUGGCUUGUUAAGUCAGGGGUGAAAGUUUUCGGCCCAACCGGAAAAUGGCCUUUGAUACUGGCGAGCUCGAGUGCGUGAGGGGUAACCGGAACGAGCAGUGUAGCGGUGAAAUGCGUAGAUAUUGCUCGGAAGGCCAACGGCGAAAGCAGGUUACUGGUGCGCAACUGACACUGAGGCACGAAAGCGUGGGGAGCAAACAGG